UUUGUUGGUUGCAUCUAUGUUAAUAUGUGGUGUUGGAAUGUAACUGAUCCAAUGGUGGAAGAAGUAGAUCCUUUACUAAAAGUACUCAUACCACGCUCUGAAAAUACUCCACUACAAGUACAAGUCUCACAUUCAAAACCUAGCUUAAGUGAAAGUAUUAACUCAAAGGAUGAAAAGUACUCAUUGUGCAGUGAAAUGUUCCCCGUCAGUGUUUUGCUUUCACUGCUGUAGAUGUUUAUGGUUGAGCUCAUUUGAAUUACUUUACAUACUGCUGGGUAGUUUAAUCUACAGCAAUGCAUCAUAUUCUGUAAGAUCAUCAUACGGUUGUAGCAUCGCUGUCCUGUGAGAACCAUUUGUCUCUAAAAAGUAAACUUUUUUAUGAGCCCUGAAGUACAGCCCCGUUUUCAGCUUUGUGACAAUGCAUUUCCAGCUAAUCCAAGAGGGGUUUUAAAAAGUUUAUUUAUCUUAAGAAGUAGGAGAAAUUUCACCAUAUUUGGAGUUAUAAGGAAAAUUGGAUUCUGAAAAGUAACUUGGAACUAAAGCUGUCAGUCAAAUGUAAUGGAGUAAAAAAAGUAUAAAGUUGCAUUAAAUGGAAAUACUCACAUAGAGUACUCACAUACCUUUAAUUUGUAAUUCAGUACAGUACUUACUAACUAACUUACAUUUAGGGAAAUAUUGUACUUAAUAUUGUACUUUUUACUCAAUACAUUUAUUUGACAAAUUUAGGUACUUCUCAUUAACAAUUUACACAAAAACACUUAUUGUAAGCUUAAAGAAUACAAUUAAUUGUGUGCAGCAGUGUGUAGUUGGGGCUCCUUGUGACAACACGAGUUGUUAUCAGUUCCACCAAAGAGACAUUUGAACUGUAAACUUCUCACAUGGUUUCAUUUCAAUCACUGUUUGAGGCCAAAAGAGGUCAAGAGAAAAUGUGAAUACAACAAUUUGUGUAACAGAACUUGUUUUUUUUACGUCUUCCCAACCCCAUUAAUCAUCUCAUGACCCCUCUGAUUUAUCUUGUGACCCUUUGGAGGGGCCCGGCACGUAGCUUGGGAACCACCGGACUAAUCUAGCUAACUGCAUAUUAAAUAAUGAAAAUUGCACCUUGAACAGCCACAUUAGUUCACAGGAACUACACACGGAUCCAUUCGUAUUAUCUCAUGUAAUAUUAUAUCAGAGUAUUCAGGGGACAUUUUCUGCAGUAUGAAAAGUACUUUUACUUUUGAUACGGUUGUGGGAUAGUGACUCACAAACCUAAAGCAACUGGUUAAGAAAUUUACAUCAGUACAUGAUGGUAAUACAUUUUAAUUUCAUGUUGGAUCCCAUUGCAGAGUAAGAAACUGAUUGAAAGUUUAAGUACUCUGGCAUUUUAAACUUUUACAGCCUCGGUUUUAUAUGUUUUCUUCAAUUAUUCCAUUUUAUUGAGAACGUGUAUAAAGUUUCGCCUUUAUGUUUAACUCCAUCCUAACCACAACAGUUGGCAACAACACCUGCAUCACUGCUGAUCUGGCUUCACACUAGUCUGUCUGACACUUAAGUAAACACCUUCAGCUGUGACUUCUGGCUGGGUAAUCAUCUAAUCAAUAAAGUCAUCACAAAUAUUCCAACAAACCCGUCAAUUUCUGCGUCAGACAGAGAAACCAAACUGCCUCUAACAGCCCGUUGGUUUUUGCCUAAUAUUGAUCCCUUACUGUCUCAUGGCCUGCCCCAACAUCCUGUUUCAACUUGAUCAGUGCAAAUUUCUGACCAUCUUUUUAUGAGCUUGUGCAGGUCAGAGACUUCAGACCCAAAGUAUCCUCUAGAAUUCCAAAUAGGUUGAUAUCCACAGCUGAACAUUUGCCUAUUUAUUAUGUGUUGAUCUUCUGCAUGAUCCCAUGAGGCAGAAAAGCAUGAUUUCAUAAUAACAUUAAUAAUAAAGUAUGCAAAAUAAAAGAACAACAACAACAAAAUCAUACCUGAAAAGCAUGCUGUAUCUUAUAACUCUUUAAAACUCAAAAUGAAACACUGUCAGUUUCGAGGUGCAUUGAGUGGACUGUUUCAAUUUAAGCGCCACAGAAAGUGUUGGGGUGGAGCGCCUGGCUGGGUAGUGGCCCAUAUCAGCUGGUGUUUUUCGGUGGAGUGGAAAGUACCUAAGUGUUGUCGCAAGUAAAAAAGUCUGUGCACAGAAAACUGCUACAAAAUGAAUUUGUUGACCUAUUCUGACCUCGUUUAACUGAUAAAUUUGACUGAAUGCAACUGAGAACGCUGCAGCUGUGGCCUGAUAGAGGCUGUGUCAGAGCUUGUUAUUAUCAGAGGUGUGUCGCUUCCUGUAAGUCAAAAUAUAUUCAAUAAAAGAAAAAGAAAGGAAGGGAGGUGCAAAGGAGUUGUGAUUAUAAUGAUGAACUGCUAUAAUAAGCAUCUUUGUAUUGCGCUUGUUUAGAUUUUUUCUCCAUCUUGGUUGCUUGGUGUCUCCACAGCUGACGUCUCAAAAGAUCCACUGUCAAUCGAACCUUGUGAGGUCCACCUGCUUGAGUUUUCAUAUUAGGGCUGGGUAUCGGUACUGGAUACCUUUCAGGUAUCAACCGAAACAACCCGGUACCAAGUAGCAUUGAAACUGCGCCUGUCAAACGAUACCUGCAAUCGGUUCUUUUUGUACCCACUACCCAGAUCAAGAAAAAUAUGACUGUUUCUAUGGUUUUGCUUUGUAUGGCGGUAAAGUGUGCACGGUAAGUCUGUGGCGGAGUUGGCUGGUCAGCAUUUCGAGAUGCCGGCAGCAAAACGUUCAAAAGUAUGGUUGUACUACUUGCCUGUGGCGCCGGGUACAAAUAGAUGCAUCAAAUGUGGCAAGAUUAUUUCGGGGAAAACUAGCAACAUGAUGAAGCACCUCAUCACGCAUGGAACAAACUUCAGGGAGGACAACUGCACUGUUUUUAAGAAGCCGGCGUCUACAACACCAGCGUCGUCGUCGUCGUCGUCAUCUCAACAGGACACGGAAGUGUCCUCCUUUUUGAUGUUAAGGAAAUGGCCACCCUAACACGGAGCAACAGUCGAUAACUUCAGAUGCUGGGAUGUAAUGUGACAACCAGUGAUCUUCGGCACUCGCCACUGGAAUGAAAUCUCGACAUAGAAGGAAGUUCAUCAGCCCAAAAAACUGCAAAUGAACAAAGACAAUCAUGUUCAGCACCUUCAUCUACUGCAUCUUCCAUCCCAGUUGGACUGAACACUGUGAUUCUGUGUCGCUCACUGCAACACACACAUUGCACUUUUUUUUUAGCGUGCACUUUAGUAUCAUUAUCCAAAAUAAUGGAUAAUAUGUGGUUGCAGGGUCAAUCUAACCAUGCAAAGGUUUUGGUGUUAUUGUCACAGGUUUUGAGAUAUCUGCCUCAACCCCGAUACAACAGAACCCUUGAAAAUGACAUUUAAAAACAUUCAACAGCAACAACAUUUUCAUGAUCAUUUUAGGAUGCUUUGAGCUUCAUAAAUGGACUCUAAUAACCUCUGUUGUAUUUGAGUGGCAGCAAGUCAAAACACCUGCAGAUUCAAAAAGAUAAGACUGAAACUCUUUUUGUGACUCAAUCUGACUAGUAGUACCUGUCUGCUGUUUGUUUCUCUCUCUCUCUCUCUCUCUCUCUGUCUCGCUCUCUUUCUCUCUCUCUCUCUCUCUCUCUUUCUCUCUCUCUCUCUCACCCCAACUGGUCGAGACAGACCACCACCCACCUAGAGCCGAAGGAUCUGUCCUAGGUUUCUGCCUUUUAACAGGCAGUUUUUCCUUGCCCUUGUCGCCAAGUGCUUGCUCAUGGUGGUACUGUUGGGUCUCUGUAAAUAAUGUUAUAAGGAGUUUGGUCUAGACCUGCUCUAUUUGAAAAGUGUCCUGAGAUAACUUCUGUUAUGAAUUGGCGCUAUGCAAAUAAAAUUUAAUUGAAUUGAAUAGUAGGUAGAAAGGAGAGAAACUAUGUUUUUCAUUUGCUUUCCCUACAAGAGUUUCCAUGGUGAAUUUAGACAUUCAAAUCAAUGAGGUAGUUUGUUAAUCUCUAAAUCUCACCGUUGAUCUACUUACACAGUGUUUGUGCACACGUCGGCCAUUUUGAUUUAAAGUUUCACUUUCGGCGAACUUUUCGCGUUGUAUUUGAACGAACUCCUCCUAGGGAAUUUAUCAAAUAUGCUUCAAAAUUUGUGAGUACAGUCAGAAAAUGGUGCUGAUUAAAAGUUGUGCUAUUUAUGCAUGUACGUUGAAGGGCGUGUCCGUGGCGUGACCUCAAAGUUGGCCACGUUGAAUCGAAUGUCAAACUGUGAUGCCAUUUCCGGCAUUUUGCAAUGAUUUUCAGAGUUUUUUUGCAUUGUAUUUUAACGAAGUCCUCCUAGAAAAUUUUUCAGAUCUGCUUCAAAAUUUGUCAGUACAGUCAAAAAAUGGUGCUGAUUAAAAGUUGUGCUAUUUGUGACUGUACGUUAAAGGGCGUGUCCAUGGCGUUCCCUCAAAGUUGGCAAGGUUGAAUCAAAUGUCAAACUGUGAUGCUAUUUCUGGCAUUUAAGGGCUUCUGUUUUAACUAACUCCUCCUACAGAUGUUAUCAGAUUGACUUCAAAUUCGAUCACUUCAAUCUACACACAUUGGUUAUCAAAAGUUGUGCUAUUUGUGACUGUAUGUUUAACCGUGUGCCCGUGACGAUGUGUCGAAUUCCACCGAUUGGCCAUCAAACAAAUAGUACUCACAUCUUCAGUGUACAGUCCCACCCUGAACACGUCCUCAUAACUUCAGCGUACAUGAUCCAGUCUCAAUGAAACUUCACGUGUUUGAUAACAAUGCCACCCUGAACACGUCUACAUGACAAUAUUCAGACAUAGUGAUAGCGCCACAUACUGGUAAAAGGAAGUAUCACGUUUUAUACUUUCAUGUUCUACUCCUCGCAGGAUGAUCAGAUCCACCUGAAAUUUACUUAUAAAAUGAAAAACACAUUGUUGAUGAUAUGUGUUGACUGUGGUGAGGGGGCGUGUCUGUGGGGUGGCGGGAAAUUUUGAUGGGCCGCCACAAAACACGAAUUCGCUAUAACUUGAGUGUACAUUGUCCAAUCGGCUCCACACUUCAAAUGCUUGAUAACAGUCCCGCCCUGAACACAUGUACAUGUAUAUAAUAUAUAAUAUUUUAAUGUGUUGUGCACGAAUGAUGAUUAAGGCCACGUGAAAUUUUUUUUUUUCAUUGUAAGUGUUAAGUGUGUUUAAUCUUGAUAAUCUUGAUUUUCUUAUUUUGUUGACCUGACUUGAAUUUUACUUUUCUCUUAAAAUUCAGAACUACUUUUCAGAAAAACUUACUUUAGAAUUCAUCCUACUUUUCCUAUGAAUUUAGAAUUAUUUUCUUAGGAUAAGUUACUAUUUUAUUAUCUGAAAUCGGAGUUUUAAUUUAUUCUCAAUUCUCAAUGUAUUCCUGAGAUUCAGAAUUUUGAAAGUAAGCUAAUUUUUUAUUUUAUUUAUUUAUUUUUUCAUUUGGCCCUACUGAUCCUCUAUACUUUGUUCCUUUGUGUUAUAGAAUGUUAUUGCACUUGAAUAAUUGCUCAAAUGUCACAGUAUUCUUAAAUUAGUGUGUCACACUGAGCACAUGGUCAAACCUUGUUAGUAGUUUUCAAAAAGACCAUCUGUUCUUCAUUGAAAAUAUUUACUGACUUGUCUUUUUUACAGACAGAAAGCUUUUAGACAAUUCUAUCACUAUAUGGAAAUGCUUUUCCAUUUGCACUUUACAAAGUCUUUUAUGGUUGUAUUAUUAUUCUCCUGCACCUAAUGUUUUGACAGAGAAAUCUACCUGAUGUUCACUAAUUAAAACCACUGACUUAUGGACCCAAACAGUACAUUUGGUGACCAUAAAGAUUGACAUUAUUUUUGUAUACAGUAGACUACUGCAGAAUUUAAGUUGCAGAUGGCAAAUGUUUAUUUUAGGUUUCCCUACUGAGGAACUUUUUUUUUUGUAGAAUGGCUUCCAACAUUUUGUGCAUUGAAUUUCACAUCCAUGUAGGAGGGUGUCUCAUCUUUGGAAUAAAACUCUUCAGCUCUUUGUUCUCAUGAAUGUAUCUAUACAAAUGCAAAUGAGGUUUUAUCCUGACUUUUACAGCAUCCACCAUGUUGUUCACUUCUUACAAACACUCACCUCUUUUAAAUCCCUCCCUAUACAUCCUCAAGCUAUGAUUUUGGAAUCAGACAUGUUGCCCAAAAGAUUUUUCUAUUGCUUCAAAUGCUUUCAAUAGAAUUGAGAAGACUGUGGGCGGGCGUGUUUUUUUCCCCCUCUCUCUACAGUUGUUGGAUGUCUCUGGGGAGUCUGCUGGAUUAUGGAGGGGAUUUCUGUUGGAUUUCAGUGAAAUAAAGAAGACUGUUUUUUAACCACUGAA